GCCUAACACAUGCAAGUCGAACGGUAACAGGAAGAAGCUUGCUUCUUUGCUGACGAGUGGCGGACGGGUGAGUAAUGUCUGGGAAACUGCCUGAUGGAGGGGGAUAACUACUGGAAACGGUAGCUAAUACCGCAUAACGUCGCAAGACCAAAGAGGGGGACCUUCGGGCCUCUUGCCAUCGGAUGUGCCCAGAUGGGAUUAGCUAGUAGGUGGGGUAACGGCUCACCUAGGCGACGAUCCCUAGCUGGUCUGAGAGGAUGACCAGCCACACUGGAACUGAGACACGGUCCAGACUCCUGCGGGAGGCAGCAGUGGGGAAUAUUGCACAAUGGGCGCAAGCCUGAUGCAGCCAUGCCGCGUGUAUGAAGAAGGUCUUCGGGUUGUAAAGUACUUUCAGCGGGGAGGAAGGGAGUAAAGUUAAUACCUUUGCUCAUUGACGUUACCCGCAGAAGAAGCACCGGCUAACUCCGUGCCAGCAGCCGCGGUAAUACGGAGGGUGCAAGCGUUAAUCGGAAUUACUGGGCGUAAAGCGCACGCAGGCGGUUUGUUAAGUCAGAUGUGAAAUCCCCGGGCUCAACCUGGGAACUGCAUCUGAUACUGGCAAGCUUGAGUCUCGUAGAGGGGGGUAGAAUUCCAGGUGUAGCGGUGAAAUGCGUAGAGAUCUGGAGGAAUACCGGUGGCGAAGGC
rnacentral:rRNA from 1 species